GCCUCCGUGGUGUAGUGGUCAGCACACUUGGCGCGUAUUCGACAGGACCGUGGUUCGAGUCCCGGCGAGGGCA
rnacentral:tRNA from 1 species